UACGGAGGGUGCGAGCGUUGUCCGGAAUCACUGGGCGUAAAGCGCACGCAGGCGGUUCGCCAAGUUUGGAGUGACAGUUGUCGGCUCAACCGACAAAGGACUUCAAAAACUGGUGAACUUGAGGACGAGAGAGGAACAUGGAACUCCAGGUGUAGUAGUGAAAUGCGUAGAUAUCUGGAAGAACACCAAUGGCGAAGGCAAUGUUCUGGCUCGUUUCUGACGCUCAGGUGCGAAAGCCAGGGGAGCGAACGGG
rnacentral:rRNA from 1 species